rnacentral:rRNA from 1 species
GAUGAACGCUGGCGGCGUGCCUAAUACAUGCAAGUCGAGCGAACGGACGAGAAGCUUGCUUCUCUGAUGUUAGCGGCGGACGGGUGAGUAGCACGUGGAUAACCUACCUAUAAGACUGGGAUAACUUCGGGAAACCGGAGCUAAUACCGGAUAAUAUUUUGAACCGCAUGGUUCAAAAGUGAAAGACGGUCUUGCUGUCACUUAUAGAUGGAUCCGCGCUGCAUUAGCUAGUUGGUAAGGUAACGGCUUACCAAGGCAACGAUGCAUAGCCGACCUGAGAGGGUGAUCGGCCACACUGGAACUGAGACACGGUCCAGACUCCUACGGGAGGCAGCAGUAGGGAAUCUUCCGCAAUGGGCGAAAGCCUGACGGAGCAACGCCGUGUGAGUGAUGAAGGUCUUCGGAUCGUAAAACUCUGUUAUUAGGGAAGAACAUAUGUGUAAGUAACUGUGCACAUCUUGACGGUACCUAAUCAGAAAGCCACGGCUAACUACGUG